ensembl:lncRNA
GGCUAGGUCUAGUCAGACUAUGGAUGGUGGUGUAGAUGAGGCUGGGUCUAGUCAGGCUAGAGAUGGUGGGGUAGAUGAGGCUGGGUCUAGUCAGGUUAUAGAUGGUGGUGUAGAUGAGGCUGGGUCUAGUCAGGUUACGGAGGGUGGUGUAGAUGAGGCUGGGUCUAGUCAGGUUAUAGAUGGUGGGGUAGAUGAGGCUGGGUCUAGUCAGGUUAUAGAUGGUGGUGUAGAUGAGGCUGGGUCUAGUCAGGUUAUAGAUGGUGGUGUAGAUGAGGCUGGGUCUAGUCAGGUUAUAGAUGGUGGUGUAGAUGAGGCUGGGUCUAGUCAGGUUAUAGAUGGUGUUGUAGAUGAGGCUGGGUCUAGUCAGGUUAUAGGUGGUGGUGUAGAUGAGGCUGGGUCUAGUCAGGUUAUAGAUGGUGGUGUAGAUGAGGCUGGGUCUAGUCAGGUUAUAGAUGGUGGUGUAGAUGAGGCUGGGUCUAGUCAGGUUAUAGGUGGUGGUGUAGAUGAGGCUGGGUCUAGUCAGGUUAUAGAUGGUGGUGUAGAUGAGGCUGGGUCUAGUCAGGUUAUAGAUGGUGGUGUAGAGGAGGCUGGGUCUAGUCAGGUUAUAGAUGGUGGUGUAGAUGAGACUGGGUCUAGUCAGGUUAUAGAUGGUGGUGUAGAUGAGGCUGGGUCUAGUCAGGUUAUAGAUGGUGGUGUAGAUGAGGCUGGGUCUAGUCAGGUUAUAGAUGGUGGUGUAGAUGAGGCUGUGUCUAGUCAGGUUACGGAGGG